GAUGUGGGGGAUGCUGGGUUUGAGGGAGUUGAGGGUUCCUGGGAGGGACUUGGGGCUUGCAGAGGCCUUUGGGGAUCCCAGGCCGAGCAGCUCUGGCUGUGCUGGGAGACCCUGGGGGAGGUUCUGGGGCAGCUGCUCAAGGACCCCCUGACCUGGAGCCCCAGCCAGGCAUUGGGCUUCUGGAAGGGGAUGAACGUCCUUGUCCCCAGGAGGGAAAUCCCAGCACCCCCAGGGUGCUGGGGACAGCUGAGGGGUCACAGCAGAGAGGGGAAAGCCAGAGAGAGCUGUCACACUCUUAAAGUACACCCCAAUAGUCCCAAAACUCAGGGAUUGCUCGCAGGAAAAAGCUGCCAGGAGCUGCCUGAAUUGAGGGAAAGGCGGGAUGUGACCCCCCAGACUGAGCAGGAGAGACCUGGAUCCCCCACAACCAAGCACAGGGACGAGAGGUGUAGCUAGAAGCAUGAUGGGAAAGGGGUGGGAGAGCAGGGAAAAAGAGGAUUCAGAGCGGGAGAGGGAUGGGACCCCCAAAUUGAGUUGGGAGGAGUCUUUGGGUUGGGGGAACCAUGGGAGAUGGGAGGGAAAGGUGGAGAUGGGAUGAAAAAAAGGGCUGUUCCAUGGCUAUCCCUUAGUGUCCCUAUGGCUUGAUCCCUGGAGUGAUUCCCUGGGGAUCUGGGGGGGAAUGGAUCUGCACUGGGUGGGUCCCCAAGCUCCCUGCCCAUCCCUGGGGAGAUCAUGGGAGGUUCCCUUGGUCCCUUCCCCCAAAAGCUGGUGGUGCUGCAGCUGUGUGGGAGAGGUGAGUGUGAAAGGAGGAUCUGGGGUGGGCAGGGAGGAGGAGCAAUAGGAAGAGGAGGGAGAGAGGAGGCGGAGGAUGGGAAAAGGAGGAGCAGGAGCAGGAAGAGGAAGAGGAGGAGCCGCAGCAGAACCACACUGUUUUCCCGCCCGCCUGCUGAGUCUGCAGCUCCCCUGGCCCUGGCAGCAUCGACCCCCCAGAUCCCACAGGAUUUGUCAAUCCCAGCCUUUGUCUGGAUGGAGCUGGAGGAGGCUGCAAGGAAAAGGAAGAUGGUCUGGGACACUUGAGGCCGGCACCGAGCUGCCGACGGAGAUCAGGAAGAACAAAUGCCUGCUGCAGAAUCUCAUGGAAGAGGCCAUUUUGAGCAGCUCCACGGCAUGGGAAUCCAAUGGGGAGGAAAACCCCUGGAGAUCCCACACAAGGAGCAAACCCAGCUCCGGGAGCUGCGAGGACGUAAGAUCCCCCUGUGCUGGGAAGGCCACUGGAGAUGUAUUUGGAACUCAGAGGUGUGGCAAGGACUCAUGGUGGGCAGAAGCCCCACAAGUACUUGGAAUGGGGGAAGGGCUUCAGCUGGAGCUCCAGAGCUCAGACUUGAUCCAGAUGAUCCACAUGGGGAAAUGGCCCUACAAGUGUAGGGGUGUGGGAAGGGCUUUGGGCAGAGCUCCAACCUCAUCAAUCACUGCAAGAUCCACACUGGGGAGAGGCCCGAUGACUGUCCUGAGUGUAGGAAGUGGUUUCUGAGCAGCUCCAAUCUCAUUGUACAUCAGUAGAUUCACACAGAGGAG